GAUGAACGCUGGCGGCGUGCCUAAUACAUGCAAGUCGAGCGAACGGACGAGAAGCUUGCUUUUCUGAUGUUAGCGGCGGACGGGUGAGUAACACGUGGAUAACCUACCUAUAAGACUGGGAUAACUUCGGGAAACCGGAGCUAAUACCGGAUAAUAUUUUGAACCGCAUGGUUCAUAAGUGAAAGACGGUCUUGCUGUCACUUAUAGAUGGAUCCGCGCUGCAUUAGCUAGUUGGUAAGGUAACGGCUUACCAAGGCAACGAUGCAUAGCCGACCUGAGAGGGUGAUCGGCCACACUGGAACUGAGACACGGUCCAGACUCCUACGGGAGGCAGCAGUAGGGAAUCUUCCGCAAUGGGCGAAAGCCUGACGGAGCACAGCCGCGUGAGUGAUGAAGGUCUUCGGAUCGUAAAACUCUGUUAUUAGGGAAGAACAUAUGUGUAAGUAACUGUGCACAUCUUGACGGUACCUAAUCAGAAAGCCACGGCUAACUACGUG
rnacentral:rRNA from 1 species